AAGCGUCCGUAGCUGGCCCUGCAAGUCCGUCGGGAAAUCCACUCGCCUAACGAGUGGGCGUCCGGCGGAAACUACAGGGCUUGGGACCGGAAGACUUGAGGGGUACGUCUGGGGUAAGAGUGAAAUCCUGUAAUCCUGGACGGACCGCCGAUAGCGAAAGCACCUCAAGACGACGGAUCCGACAGUGAGGGACGAAAGCUAGGGUCUCGAAC
rnacentral:rRNA from 1 species